GGCGGUUCGCCGCCGAUGACGUCGCGAGAAGUCCACUGAACCUUAUCAUUUAGAGGAAGGAGAAGUCGUAACAAGGUUUCCGUAGGUGAACCUGCGGAAGGAUCAUUG
rnacentral:rRNA from 1 species